GUGAGGAAUUUUCCGCAAUGGGCGAAAGCCUGACGGAGCAAUGCCGCGUGAAGGAUGAAGGCCUAUGGGUUGUAAACUUCUUUUCUCAGAAAAGAAUUAUGACGGUAUCUGAGGAAUAAGCAUCGGCUAACUCUGUGCCAGCAGCCGCGGUAAGACAGAGGAUGCAAGCGUUAUCCGGAAUGAUUGGGCGUAAAGCGUCUGUAGGUUGUUUAAAAAGUAUUCUGUCAAAGAUUAGGGCUUAACCCUAGAUAGGCAGAAUAAACUUUUAAGCUAGAGUUUGGUAGAGGCAGAGGGAAUGCCCGGUGGAGCGGUGAAAUGCGUAGAGAUCGGGAGGAACACCAAAGGCGAAGGCACUCUGCUGGGCCAAUACUAACACUGAGAGACGAAAGCGAGGGGAGCAAAUGGGAUUAGAAACCCUAGUAGUCC
rnacentral:rRNA from 1 species